rnacentral:rRNA from 1 species
UACGUAGGUGGCAAGCGUUGUCCGGAUUUACUGGGCGUAAAGAGCGCGCAGGCGGUUAUUCAAGUCGAAUGUGAAAGCCCCCGGCUUAACUGGGGAGGGUCAUUCGAUACUGUUUAACUUGAAGGCAGGAGAGGGUAGUGGAAUUCCCGGUGUAGUGGUGAAAUGCGUAGAUAUCGGGAGGAACACCAGUGGCGAAGGCGACUACCUGGCCUGUUCUUGACGCUGAGGCGCGAAAGCUAGGGGAGCAAACGGG